UACAGAGGUCUCAAGCGUUGUUCGGAUUCAUUGGGCGUAAAGGGUGCGUAGGCGGCGCGGUAAGUCGGGUGUGAAAUCUCGGAGCUUAACUCCGAAACUGCAUUCGAUACUGCCGUGCUUGAGGACUGGAGAGGAGACUGGAAUUUACGGUGUAGCGGUGAAAUGCGUAGAUAUCGUAAGGAAGACCAGUGGACGAAGGCCGGGUCGCUGGACAGUUCCUGACGC
rnacentral:rRNA from 1 species